GAUGAAGAACGCAGCGAAACGCGAUAGUUAAUGUGAAUUGCAGAAUUCGGUGAAUCAUCGAGUCUUUGAACGCACAUUGCGCCCAUUGGUAUUCCGUUGGGCAUGUCUGUUUGAGCGUCAUUACAACAGUUCAGCGUAAGCUGGUUAUGAGUUCUGUUUUUUUAAACAAAAAACAGGCUUUAAAAUGUAUGUUCUGCAGGUCGCUUUGCUAAACCCUAAACAUUAAAUACUGUUCUAGUGAAGCAUUUGCGACUCUGCCUGAAAAAAAACUUUUGUUAAAGUUUGACCUCAGAUCAGACAAGGAUACCCGCUGAACUUAAGCAUAUCAAUAAGCGGAGGA
rnacentral:misc_RNA from 1 species